GACAUGACUACAGGUUGUAAAUUAAAGUUUUCACCUACACUGGCAGCAACCACUAAACUAAAGUGACAUUUCACUCCACAGAAGAAAAGAGACCGACACACGUCACCAUGCAGAUUUACCCAAAGCUCCUCCUCCUGUCAGUCCCUCUCAGUUUCAGUGCUGUAUUAAACUGCUCCUCCACCACCUCCUCUCCUCAUCCUCCAAACCCUCUGAUCUGUCAGCAGUAAGCUCACUCUCCAAGUGACAAGGCCAUUCUCAGCACACAGGGACAACAUGCUGGGGACCCUCUGCGCUCUCAUCACCGCUCUAACAUGUGUGAGUGGUGUGACAGUGGUGACACAGAAGCCUCCUGUUAUGACAGUGAGGAAAGGAGAGACAGCCACCAUGGACUGUAACCUGGGGACUGUUACUGCUCAUAGUGCUGUAUGGCAUAAACAGAUUCCAGGAGGAGUUCCUCAGUAUGUGCUGAAGUUUCAUCAUUCCUUUAGCUCUCCAACUUAUGGCUCUGGGUUCUCCUCUCCCAAAUUCACAUCAAACCAUCAGUCACAAUCAGAUUAUCGUUUGAUCAUUAACAACAUGGAGGAGGGAGACUCAGCAGUCUAUUACUGUCACACAUUCGACAACUUUGUUAACCAGUACGUAUCACAGUGAUUUACACUGUGACAAAAACCUCCUCACUAAACACUUCUGCUUUUUCACUUGGUUGAUUCAUCAUCAUGAGAGUAAACCUUACUGUG